AUUGAACGCUGGCGGCAUGCUUUACACAUGCAAGUCGAACGGUAACAGGUUAAGCUGACGAGUGGCGAACGGGUGAGUAAUGCAUCGGAACGUGCCCGAUCGCGGGGGAUAACGCAGCGAAAGCUGCGCUAAUACCGCAUACGAUCUGAGGAUGAAAGCGGGGGACCGGAAGGCCUCGCGCGAUCGGAGCGGCCGAUGUCAGAUUAGGUAGUUGGUGGGGUAAAGGCUCACCAAGCCAACGAUCCGUAGCUGGUCUGAGAGGACGACCAGCCACACUGGGACUGAGACACGGCCCAGACUCCUACGGGAGGCAGCAGUGGGGAAUUUUGGACAAUGGGCGAAAGCCUGAUCCAGCAAUGCCGCGUGCAGGAAGAAGGCCUUCGGGUUGUAAACUGCUUUUGUACGGAGCGAAAAGGUUCUCUCUAAUACAGAGGGCUCAUGACGGUACCGUAAGAAUAAGCACCGGCUAACUACGUGCCAGCCGCCGCCGUAAUAC
rnacentral:rRNA from 1 species